rnacentral:rRNA from 1 species
CCUACGGGGUGCUGCAGUGGGGAAUAUUGGACAAUGGGCGAAAGCCUGAUCCAGCCAUGCCGCGUGUGUGAAGAAGGCCUUCGGGUUGUAAAGCACUUUCAGUGGGGAAGAAAGCCUUGGGGCUAAUACCCUCGAGGAAGGACAUCACCCACAGAAGAAGCACCGGCUAACUCCGUGCCAGCAGCCGCGGUAAUACGGAGGGUGCGAGCGUUAAUCGGAAUUACUGGGCGUAAAGCGCGCGUAGGCGGUCUGAUAAGCCGGUUGUGAAAGCCCCGGGCUCAACCUGGGAACGGCAUCCGGAACUGUCAGGCUAGAGUGCAGGAGAGGAAGGUAGAAUUCCCGGUGUAGCGGUGAAAUGCGUAGAGAUCGGGAGGAAUACCAGUGGCGAAGGCGGCCUUCUGGACUGACACUGACGCUGAGGUCCGAAAGCGUGGGUAGCAAACAGGAUUAGAUACCCGUGUAGUC